rnacentral:rRNA from 1 species
CCUACGGGUGACAGCAGUGGGGAAUAUUGCACAAUGGGGGGAACCCUGAUGCAGCGACGCCGCGUGGGUGAAGCCGUAUUUCGGUAUGUAAAGCCCUAUCAGCAGGGAAGAACCAUGACGGUACCUGACUAAGAAGCACCUGCUCAAUACGUGCCAGCAGCCUCGGUAAUACGUAUGGUGCAAGCGUUAUCCGGCUUUACGGGGUGUAAGGGGGGCGCAGGCUGUGCGUUAAGCCUGGUGUGAAAGCCCGGGGCCCAACCGCGGUACUGCAUUGGGAACUUGCGCGCUGGAGUGCCGGAGGGGUAGGCGGAAUGCAUAGUGUAGCGGUGAAAUGCGUAGAUAUUAGGAGGAACACCAGUGGCGAAGGCGGCCUACUGGACGGUGACUGACGCUGAGGCUCGAAAGCGUGGGGAGCAAACAGGAUUAGAUACCCCAGUAGUC